UGAUGGCAAAUGAUGAAUCUUUAAAACAAAUCGGUAAUUUGCGACUGAAACAUUUGAUGUUAAUUCACCUUGGAGAACUGAUGCCAUUU